rnacentral:rRNA from 1 species
UACGGGGGGGGGCAAGCGUUGUUCGGAAUUACUGGGCGUAAAGGGCUCGUAGGUGGCCAACUAAGUCAGACGUGAAAUCCCUCGGCUUAACCGGGGAACUGCGUCUGAUACUGGAUGGCUAGAGAUUGGGGAGAGGGAUGCGGAAUUCCAGGUGUAGCGGUGAAAUGCGUAGAUAUCUGGAGGAACACCGGUGGCGAAGGCGGUUCUCUGGGCCUUACCUGACGCUGAGGAGCGAAAGCGUGGGGAGCGAACAGG